GCCUGGUUGGCUCAGUAGUAGAGCAUCUGCCUUUGGCUCAGAGUUUGAUCCUGGGAUCUGGGGAUCGAGUCCUGCAUUGGGCU
rnacentral:tRNA from 1 species